UCAUCUGCCCAUGAGCUUGUGGGUUCCAACACUGCAGGAGCUCAGUGGAUUGCUUUUCCUUUCUUCUCUAUGUCACUGCUCUUCCCACAUGUGAAUGGACAAAUCUCAUAAUGUGUUCUCCUCAUGGCCAGUAAAAUAGAAAUUUUCCUCUAGGACAUCUGUACGCAGUGAAUUAUCCUGGAAUGGAUGCACUUGCUUGGAAACCACCCACACUGAGGCUUUGUACACAUGGACCAGCUGGUUGCCUCUGACAUGUCCACCUUGAUGCCUGGAGCAGAGCAAGUGGAGGCAAAGGAGUCUCACGCUGAUGAUGCCAGCAACAAGUGAGCUCAGUUCCUGUGACCAUCCCAGAUACAAGACUCCAGCUGAUGCAGCUCCAUCCCAGUGCACAGCCCUGUCACCAUGAAGGGCCCUGGAUGAUCCCUUCUCUACAGAGUGAAAUCACCAGAGAUUGACCCAUUGUCAGCUCCAUGCCCACGUCAGCCAGCCACCCAAAGUGAUACAGGGCAUGAAGCACCAGCUGGCAGAAAUGGUCUGUGUGCACAAGAGAAGUGAUGCAUAGAAAUAUUUCAGGUUCCUGUUUUCAUUUUUUUUUUCUUGGUGCAUUUGUGAAAAUAAAAAAAUAAUAAUUCUGUAACACAUAA